rnacentral:rRNA from 1 species
UACAGGGGGUGCAAACGUUGCUCGGAAUUAUUGGGCGUAAAGCGCGCGUAGGCGGCUACUUAAGUCGGAUGUGAAAGCCCCUGGCUUAACUGGGGAAGUGCACCCGAAACUGAGUAGCUAGAGUGCGAAAGAGGGUCGCGGAAUUCCCGGUGUAGAGGUGAAAUUCGUAGAUAUCUGGAGGAACGCCGGUGGCGAAAGCGACUUGCUGGCUCGUAACUGACGCUGAGGCGCGAAAGCUAGGGGAGCAAAC